rnacentral:tRNA from 1 species
GUCUCUGAAGCGCAAUGGAUGGCGCUUUGGACUUCUAAACCAAAGGUCGUGGGUUCGAAUCCCACCUGGGAUG